GCGAACGGGUGAGUAACACGUGGGCAAUCUGCCCUUCACUCUGGGACAAGCCCUGGAAACGGGGUCUAAUACCGGAUAACACUUUCCCUCUCAUGGGGGAAGGUUAAAAGCUCCGGCGGUGAAGGAUGAGCCCGCGGCCUAUCAGCUAGUUGGUGGGGUAAUGGCCUACCAAGGCGACGACGGGUAGCCGGCCUGAGAGGGCGACCGGCCACACUGGGACUGAGACACGGCCCAGACUCCUACGGGAGGCAGCAGUGGGGAAUAUUGCACAAUGGGCGAAAGCCUGAUGCAGCGACGCCGCGUGAGGGAUGACGGCCUUCGGGUUGUAAACCUCUUUCAGCAGGGAAGAAGCGAAAGUGACGGUACCUGCAGAAGAAGCGCCGGCUAACUACGUGCCAGCAGCCGCGGUAAUACGUAGGGCGCAAGCGUUGUCCGGAAUUAUUGGGCGUAAAGAGCUCGUAGGCGGCUUGUUGCGUCGGUUGUGAAAGCCCGGGGCUUAACCCCGGGUCUGCAGUCGAUACGGGCAGGCUAGAGUGUGGUAGGGGAGAUCNGGAAUUCCUGGUGUAGCGGUGAAAUGCGCAGAUAUCAGGAGGAACACCGGUGGCGAAGGCGGAUCUCUGGGCCAUUACUGACGCUGAGGAGCGAAAGCGUGGGGAGCGAACAGGAUUAGAUACCCUGGUAGUCCACGCCGUAAACGUU
rnacentral:rRNA from 2 species